rnacentral:snRNA from 1 species
AUUGUUGUGUACUCGUAAAUUU